rnacentral:rRNA from 1 species
CCUACGGGUGGCAGCAGUGAGGAAUAUUGGUCAAUGGGCGGAAGCCUGAACCAGCCAAGUAGCGUGCAGGAUGACGGCCCUAUGGGUUGUAAACUGCUUUUAUACGGGAAUAACGUGCCUUACGUGUAGGGCUUUGCAUGUACCGUAUGAAUAAGGACCGGCUAAUUCCGUGCCAGCAGCCGCGGUAAUACGGAAGGUCCGGGCGUUAUCCGGAUUUAUUGGGUGUAAAGGGAGCGUAGGCCGCCUGUCAAGCGUGGUGUGAAAUGCCCGGGCUCAACCCGGGCCUUGCAGCGCGAACUGGCGGGCUUGAGUGCGCGGGAGGCAGGCGGAAUUCGUCGUGUAGCGGUGAAAUGCUUAGAUAUGACGAAGAACCCCGAGUGCGAAGGCAGCUUGCUGCAGCGGAACUGACGCUGAUGCUCGAAAGCGCGGGUAUCGAACAGGAUUAGAUACCCGAGUAGUC